AGUGGUAUUUGCAAAUCUGGGAAAUAAAGAACAGGGAUGUUAAAUUUUGCUAUUGUUCAAAUUUAUAGCUUAUAAAGUAAUAACAAAGUGUCAGGCAAGUAAGAGGUCUCAGUGUGGGAGAUUGCAGACUUUUUUUUGCAGACUUGAGAAAAUCAUCUGUUCUGGAUUGAAAGGUGGUUAUGAUGAAGAGAAGCCAGGACCUGCUUCUAAAUUGCUGGGUGAAUAAAAACUCUGGAAGGACUUGAAAUUGCUGAUAGAUGAACACAGGAAGGUGAAAUAAUUGUGAACAAAAUGGGAUGCCUGGUACGUAUGGAACAAGGAGUUUUUGAGUUACAGGUAUU